rnacentral:ncRNA from 1 species
CUACCAGGCCGGGCCCCUCUGGCAGUCCAUCAGGACUGCGAUGUCGGACUGGAAUU